rnacentral:lncRNA from 1 species
CACAACCAUCCUUGAUUUAUGGGCAUGUUCCCGAAGUAGUCACAAAAACCAACUAGGGCAAACUGAUUUCCUGAAAGGGCUAGUAGUACAAACAUCUCUUCCUCAGUUUCUCCAAAGCUUACUAACCAUUUCCCCUAUUGUAUCCAGGGAUUCUACCCUCAGUUCUUUUUUUUUUUUUUUAAUUAUUCCAUUUAUAUGAGUACACUGUAGUUGUCUUCAGACACACCAGAAGAAGGCAUCGGCUUCCAUUACAGAUGGUUGUGAGCCACCAUGUGGUUGCUGGGAAUUGAACUCAGGUCCUCUGGAAGAGCAGGAGGUGCUCUUAACCACUGAGCCAUCUCUCCAGCCCCCAUGUCCAUUUUUUGAAGUUCUUAUUAGCUCUUUGAGGCACUUCAGACAGAAAUGUGCCUGUUCCUCUGUGUUUUCCAUACCACACAGGUGCUUGAAAACCACGCCUUCUGAUGGAUUUACGACAGAACCUGUCUUCCUCUUCUGCCCAUUCCCAGAGUUCCCAGUUAUGGCAGCAAUCUGCUUAUGUCCCUUUGAAGAAAGAACAACGGAAAGCAGGUGACCCCCAAGCAAUGGCGAUUUUGGUCAACGUACUCAAGCCCAGCAAUGACGUGAUAUGAGGAGAGCCAAUAAAGGAAGAAAUAUUUUAACA